AUUGAACGCUGGCGGCAGGCCUAACACAUGCAAGUCGAGCGGAUGAAGGGAGCUUGCUCCUGGAUUCAGCGGCGGACGGGUGAGUAAUGCCUAGGAAUCUGCCUGGUCGAGGGGGAUAACGUCCGGAAACGGGCGCUAAUACCGCAUACGUCCUGAGGGAGAAAGUGGGGGAUCUUCGGACCUCACGCUAUCAGAUGAGCCUAGGUCGGAUUAGCUAGUUGGUGGGGUAAAGGCCUACCAAGGCGACGAUCCGUAACUGGUCUGAGAGGAUGAUCAGUCACACUGGAACUGAGACACGGUCCAGACUCCUACGGGAGGCAGCAGUGGGGAAUAUUGGACAAAGGGCGAAAGCCUGAUCCAGCCAUGCCGCGUGUGUGAAGAAGGUCUUCGGAUUGUAAAGCUCUUUAAGUUGGGAGGAAGGGCAGUAAGUGAAUACCUUGCUGUUUUGACGGUACCAAAAGAAUAAGCACCGGCUAACUUCGUG
rnacentral:rRNA from 1 species